rnacentral:rRNA from 1 species
GAGUUUGAUCCUGGCUCAGGAUGAACGCCGGCGGUGUGCCUAAUACAUGCAAGUCGUACGCACUGGCCCAACUGAUUGAUGGUGCUUGCACCUGAUUGACGAUGGAUCACCAGUGAGUGGCGGACGGGUGAGUAACACGUAGGUAACCUGCCCCGGAGCGGGGAUAACAUUUGGAAACAGAUGCUAAUACCGCAUAACAACAAAGGCCACAUGGCUUUUGUUUGAAAGAUGGCUUUGGCCAUCACUCUGGGAUGGACCUGCGGUGCAUUAGCUAGUUGGUAAGGUAACGGCUUACCAAGGCGAUGAUGCAUAGCCGAGUUGAGAGACUGAUCGGCCACAAUGGAACUGAGACACGGUCCAUACUCCUACGGGAGGCAGCAGUAGGGAAUCUUCCACAAUGGGCGCAAGCCUGAUGGAGCAACACCGCGUGAGUGAAGAAGGGUUUCGGCUCGUAAAGCUCUGUUGUUGGAGAAGAACGUGCGUGAGAGU